UCCCGUUGAUCCUGCGGGAGGUUGCUGCUAUUGGGAUUCGACUAAGCCACGCAAGUCUGGGGACUUCGGUCACCGACGAAAUGCUCAGUAACACGUCGAUAAUCUGCCCUUAGGUCCAGGAUAACCUCGGGAAACUGAGGCUAACACUGGAUAAGGAACUUCUUCUGGAAAGAUAUGUUCCUGAAAAGCGAUGCCUAAGGAUGAGUUGGCGGCGGAUUAGAUUGUUGGUGGGGUAAAGGCCCACCAAGUCAAAGAUCCGUACGGGCCUUGGGAGAGGUAGCCCGGAGAAGGGUACUGAGACACUGACCCUAGCCCUACGGGGUGCAGCAGGCGCGGAACCUUUACAAUGCACGCAAGUGUGAUAAGGGGAUCCUGAGUGCUUAUGCUUUGCAUAGGCUUUUGCCAAGUGUAAAUAACUUGGCGAAUAAGUGGUGGGAAAGACUGGUGCCAGCCGCCGCGGUAACACCAGCGCCACAAGUGGCAACCGUUUUUAUUGGGCCUAAAGCGUUCGUAGCCGGUUUGGUAAAUCUUUUGUGAAAUUGUUGAGCUUAACUUAACAACGUGCAGAAGACACUGCCAUACUAGGGACCAGGAGGGGCUAGAAGUAUUUCUGGGGGAGCGGUAAAAUGCAGUAAUCCUAGAAAGACUACCUGUGGCGAAGGCGUCUAGCUAGAAUGGAUCCGACGGUGAGGAACGAAAGCCAGGGGAGCAAACCGGAUUAGAUACCCGAGUAGUCCUGGCUGUAAACUCUGCGAGCUAGGUGUUGCAUAUUCUUCGUGAAUGUGCAGUAUCGUAAUGAAGAUGUUAAGCUCGCCGCCUGGGGAGUACGGUCGCAAGACUGAAACUCAAAGGAAUUGGCGGGGGAGCACCACAAGGGGUGCGGCGUGCGGUUUAAUCUAAUUCAACACAGAAAAUCUCACCAGAGGCGACGGCAGAAUGAAGGUCAGCUUGAAGAGUUUACCUGACAAGCCGAGAGGUAGUGCAUGGCCGCCGUCAGCUCGUGCCGUAAGGUGUCCUGUUAAGUCAGGCAACGAGCGAGACCUGUGCCUACAAUUGCUAGCAACUUCAUCAGAAGGAUUGAGCACAUUGUGGGGACUGCCUUUGUAAAAAGGAGGAAGGUGCAGGCUACGGUAGGUCUGUAUGCUCCGAAUCUUCUGGGCUACACGCGCGCAACAAUGGUAGGGACAACGGGAUACAACUCCGAAAGGAGAAGUUAAUCCUCUAAACCCUAUCUUAGUUCAGAUUGAGGGUUGUAACUCACCCUCAUGACGAUGGAAUCCCUAGUAAUCGUGUGUCAUCAGCAGACGGUGAAUAUGUCCCUGCUCCUUGCACACACCGCCCGUCAAACCAUCCGAGCAGGGUCUAGAUGAGGUUUACCUUCUUAGGUAAUUCG
rnacentral:rRNA from 1 species